rnacentral:rRNA from 1 species
GACGAACGCUGGCGGCGCGCCUAACACAUGCAAGUCGAACGGAGUUGUGUUGAAAGCUUGCUGGAUAUACAACUUAGUGGCGGACGGGUGAGUAACACGUGAGUAACCUGCCUCUCAGAGUGGAAUAACGUUUGGAAACGGCUGCUAAUACCGCAUAAUGCAUCAAUUUCGCAUGUUAUUGAUGCCAAAGGAGCAAUCCGCCUUUAGAUGAGCUCGCGUCUGAUUAGCUAGUUGGCGGGGUAACGGCCCACCAAGGCGACGAUCAGUAGCCGGACUGAGAGGUUGAACGGCCACAUUGGGACUGAGACACGGCCCAG